GAAAAAAACCACCGCACCCACUUCCCACGACUCCCUCCCCUACCCUCUCCCGAACCCAUCUACCCACUCCUCACGGCAUCGCGCCGCCGCCGCCGAUCUUCUCCCGAUCCACCGCCGCUGCCUACCCCGUCUCCUUCCAGCUCGCCGGCGCCCCCGCCUCCUUCUGGCCCGCCAGCGCGCACUGUCGUCCCCGCCUCCUUCCAGCGCGAGGCCGACCCACCCUACCUCUAAGCAGGCCGACCCGACCAGCCGCUCCACCAUUCGCCGGAGACGGCACCCCAAUCGACCCGCCGUCCCACCGUCGGCCGGCACGACGCCUCGAUCCAGUCCGCACUUCCAGCCCACUACGUCCCCACGCUGCCCUGGUCUCCCCCACCGUCGCAAGUAGCUACAGCACCGGCCAUCUCCUGUCGCGGAUCGGGCAGCCCCCCACCGCCACCCACAACCCGAUGCAUCGCCGCCCCGGCGGAUCCACGCCGCUCCUCUGUCUCCUGGCCGAUGCCCCUGGCUCAUCCUGCUGCUCACCUCCUCACUCACAUAUGCAUCAACAAAGGCAGGUGGGUCGCUGCAGUCCACUUCGUGGCACAACAGCAGGGCGACUCUUCCAGGACGCAUCUCACUUUUAACCGGCCCCAAAUUCGCGCGCAUGGAGGUGGUGAUGCUCCAGUGAGCUCCUCCGUCCCCAGCCCGUCCCCUGAUGCGGCCGCUGCACCACAGGUUCCUAUCCAUCGUGCCUCCUGUGUGCUUCUUCACACUUCACUU
rnacentral:rRNA from 1 species